rnacentral:ncRNA from 1 species
GCAGAGUAGGACGUGCGCGUGAAGUGCCGUCGGGACGGGGAGUUUGCCUGACGGACGAAAGCCUAGCGGACGGCGGGGCAUUAUUCGAUGCCUGCAGCCUUGCGCGGCUGCGGUGUACGCUCCGCAUCCCGCUGU